rnacentral:lncRNA from 1 species
UUAUUAUGGGGGAUUAGUGAAGCGUUACCUAGGGUGAUGGUAGAAAUUUUGUAUGCUUCGGUUCCAAAAGGGAAUAUGAUUCUAUGGCGGGGAUCGGGGAGUGAAAUGAACUUGAGUGUUCAUAUUUGGCACCACAUGCGUGUCGAAUUGGUGUUGAGUAUAUUGCAUAAGUGUUGAUUUGUAUUGAUUAUUGUUGCAUAUGAUGUUGGUGAGAAUUGAGAUGUUGUUCUGUAUGAUGUUAAUGAUAAUUGAG